rnacentral:sRNA from 1 species
UGGGUUCGUUGGGGCCGACCACGCAGUA